rnacentral:lncRNA from 1 species
GGCCAGCAGAGCCCCUCCCUUCAGCCCGAGCCUGCCUUCAGCCUGGUUCCCUCCCCCCAGACACCACAAGAAGGCUCUGCGGGCUGUGGCCUUCCACCCGCGGUCCCCACUCUUCGCGUCUGGCUCGGACGACGGCAGUGUCAUCGUCUGCCAUGGCAUGGUGUACAAUGACCUUCUGCAGAACCCCUUGCUGGUGCCCGUCACGGUGCUGAAGGGACACGUGCUGACCCGAGAUCUGGGAGUGCUGGACGUCAUCUUCCACCCCACCCAGCCGUGGGUCUUCUCCUCGGGGGCAGACGGGACCGUCCGCCUCUUCACCUAGCUGUUCUGCCUGCCUGGGGCUGGGGUGGUCGUGCUGAAGUCAACAGAGCCUUUACCCUGUGCUGCCUGGUACUCUCACCUUCUUGAAUUGGGGUUGCCAACAAAGCCGCCCCCACCAUAGCGCCGAGCCUUCCCCUCACUCAAUUUUGCAAAAACAGUGGGGACAACACAGCCAGUCCAGGGCACCCUCUGGCCCAUCCCCUAAGAGGCUGCAGCAUCGCACCCUGUCAGUCACUUGCUGGGAGCAGAUGAGUUUAUUGGGCACAUCCCUCACUGAAGGGCUUGGGUUUGGUCCCCAGCAGUGCCUCUUCUGGGGCCAGGCCCCUCCGGUCGUGUGCCCAGGCUGUGGUCCUCAGGAGGCCCUGUCUUGGAGCUCAGGCACAGGUCUGGGUGCAUACUCCUCGCUGGGGGUGCUGGCCGGAGCCUUAGGCGAGCUUCACCAGGCGGCCCAGGGCCUCAGCAGCCCUCGUCCGCACCUCGGGGGCCGGGUCCUUCAGCAGGAUCUGGAGCGCUGGGGGUAGAGAAGGGGGGCUGCCUGCGGGCUGUGACCUCGGCAUGCCCAUGCCUGCGCGUGGGCCACGCUCUCCUGACAGCCUCUGCUGGGAGGCUCAGGAGCCAACGGAAAGAUCGUUUUUCCUUUUUUAGUGUUUUUUAAGCUCUUUUGGAACAGUUAAGAAGUUUCCGUGAAUUACUAGAGACGAUGAGGUCACCAGUGACAGGGAAAAAGUCCUGAAAUCCAGGAAAAUCACUUAGUCUCUGCGGGUGCCUACAGGGUCAGCAGGGCCCAGCGGAGGGGCCCCGUGGAGGGGUGCUCACCCGCAAUGAGCUGGUCCAGGUCCACCUGCGGCUGCUGCCUGGGCUCCGAGUGCAGCACCAGGAACCCUGUGAAGUGGGGGCAUCAGGCGGGGCUGCCGGGCGGCAUGGGGGCGGGGCAGGGGGUGGUGCUCACCGGUGAACAGGGGUGCAGCAGCUCGGACGUUCUCCCAGCUGCUCUUGAAGUAGAACAGGCAGGUGGUCAGGAGACGGCCCAGCAGGUCUGGGAAAUGGUGCAUCUGGGGAGAGGCCUGGUCAGCGCCGCCUGGCCCCGCCCCACCCACCACGCCCUGCCUGGCCCCACCCCUCACCAGGUGCUUGCAGGUGGUGUUGAGGAACUCCCCGAAGUGCAGGGCUCGGCCCUCCUGCAGGUGUUUCUGGAAAGCAGCUGAGAGCUCCUCACACGCCAGGUUGGGGCCACACAUGCGCAGGGCAAACCUGCAGGCCUAAGGGAUGCGGCACUGGGGCCAAGUCCAAUUGAGGCCACCCACCCCAUCCCACCCACCCCCUGGCUACUCACGCUGGCCACGGUGGCCUGAGGGUCCUGCAGGUGCAGCAGCAGGGGCGCCAGCCCGCCCACCACCUGGUCCAGGAAGACGUCCUCACAGUCUCCGUGGCAGACCUUGUUAAGGUGCCCAAAGAGGCGGAUGGAUGCCGUCCGGAACUCCAUCUUCUCCUGGGAAGGACAUGCAGCAUACGUCUCCUCACAGGCUGUGCCCCUGCAGGCCUGCCUGCCUAGCCCCCUGCCAUUGAUGGGUGCCCUUGCCUGACCCGGGCCAGGAAACACCCCGAUGGGUGGGGGCCUUACGGGUGGGGGCUGCCAGGCCCAGCAAAGCAGCAGCCCUGCCAGUCCGCGCUCUCCACGGUCACCUGGCCGCGGUGGGAGACAGGGAGGAGGGUGGAGCUGGGGCUAAAGCUCAGAGUAAGAGGCAGGAAGGGCUGGGGCUCUCUUCCCUCCCCCCACCCCAGCCAGCCUACACUGUCGAAGAAAGGCCGGAUGCGGAUGGCCACGUGCAGCAGCCCUGAGCGCAGGUCCCAGGACUCCACCAGGUGCACCAGCCUCGCAAGGC